rnacentral:lncRNA from 1 species
GAGGAGUAGUUAUGGAGUGUUGAAGUUACUUGGGUAGAGAAAGUUACCACAGUAAAUAUUAGUUACUGUGGUAAAAAGGGUUAAAAGGAAGUUUCCUUAGUGAAAGGAGUUACUUGAGAGUGAAAUGGGAAAAGGGAAACUUACCAGGAAGAGAGGAGUGUGCGCUGAGGUUAGGAUAAGGUCUUGGAUAAGAUGGAGAGCCUUGACAGGCUGUGACAGGCUGGAAAGGCAAAGCAUCUCAGUCAAAGAUGCCUCACACACGAUCACACUCUCAUUGGCUGAGUUUGAAAUGAGGAGCCUCUUCC